GACGUGAGGCUGGAGUGGCUGCAGCCUCUUGCAGACAGUGGAGGCUCAGGCUAAGCCAGCAAGACCAAGAGGAGCACGGAGAGCUGGCAAGACGCUGGCCCGAUGAUAUCGCCUGAGCCGUGAAUCCUCCUGGCCAACGCCAGGGCUUCCUCAGGCUUUGUCAUUGCAGGGACACUUCCCUCCCUCCCUCCUUCUCUGUCUCUCUCCCCACUGCCUCUCUUUCUAGCUUAAGCCAAUUUGAGAUGGAUUUUCUGUCACUUGCUGUUGAAGGAGUCCUGGUCCAGCCCAGGUGGAUUUCGUGCAAAUGAAACCCACAUAAUGCAAGUCUGUGUGGAAGUGAUCGUCUGCGAUCGGCGCGUGCCCUUCGCCUUAUGAACAGGAGCCAUGGGUGACACGAGCGCCUCGGCUGGGCCGCCGGGGUCCGUCUGAGGUCCAUCUGUCUCCAGGGCACAGACCCCAGGCCUGGACAGAGCCGGGCACGUGUGAAACGGGAAGAUGUCAGCUGGGGAACCGGCCGCAGCUCCCAACCUUGAUGAGGAAAGAAACCUGGUAGCUGUUCCUGCAGAAAAGCCACAUGGCUCGCCGCCUAUCUCCACGAUGGUACCUGGCUUCUCCCAUCCUCACCGUCCACGUCUACUCCCUUCCCAUCCCAGACCCGAGACGCAGAAGGCUUUAGACAGAGCAGCUUCAUCAGGAAUCUGGACUGGGCUGAGGUACCUGCU
ensembl:lncRNA GALNT9-AS1 GALNT9 antisense RNA 1